rnacentral:rRNA from 1 species
AUGAACGCUAGCGCAGGCACUGCUUAAUACAUGCAGUCGUGGGGGCAGCAGGUCUGUAGCAAUACAGAUGCUGGCGACCAGGCAACGGGUGUGGAACACGUACACAACCUUCCUUUAAGUGGGGAAUAGCCCGGGGAAACCCGGAUUAAUACCCGUAACAUAGUGAAAAGGCAUCUUUUUAUUAUUAUAGCAGCAAUGCCGCUUGAUGAUGGGUGUGCGCCUGAUUAGGCAGGUUGGCGGGGUAACGGCCCACCAAACCUACGAUCAGUAACUGGUGUGAGAGCACGACCAGUCACACGGGCACUGAGACACGGGCCCGACUCCUACGGGAGGCAGCAGUUAAGGAAUAUUGGUCAAUGGACGCAAGUCUGAACCAGCCAUGCCGCGUGAGAGGAUGGAGGUCCUCUGGAUUGUAAACUUCUUUUAUCUGGGAAGAAAUCCACGAAUUCUUUUGUGGUUGACGGUACCAGAUGAAUAAGGCACCGGUCUAACUCCGUGCCAGCAGGCCGCGGAUAAUACGGAGGGUGCAAGCGUUAUCCGGAUUCACUGGGUUUAAAGGUGCGUAGGUUGGGCAGGUAAGUCAGUGGUGAAAUCUCCCGAGCUUAACUCGGAAACUGCCAUUGAUACUAUCUGUCUUGAAUACCGUGGAGGUCAGCGGGAAUAUGUCAUGUAGCGGUGAAAUGCUUAGAUAUGACAUAGAACACCAACUUGCGAAGGCAGCUGGCUACACGAAUAUUGACACUGAUGCACGAAAGCGUGGGGAUCAAACGGGAUUAGAUACCCUGGUAGUCCACGCCCUAAACGAUGGAUACUCGACAUACGCGAUACACUGUGUGUGUCUGAGCGAAAGCAUUAAGUAUCCCACCUGGGAGAGUACGAUCGCAACGAUUGAAACUCAAAGGAAUUGGCGGGGGUUCCGCACAAGCGGUGGAGCAUGUGGUUUAAUUCGAAUGAUACGCGAGGAACCUUACCUGGGCUAGAAUGCUGAUGGACUGUGGGUGAAAGCUCACUUCCCCGCAAUGGGCCGUCAGUAAGGUGCUGCAUGGCUGUCGUCAGCUCGUGCCGUGAGGUGAUUGGGGUUAAGUCCCGCAACGAGCGCAACACCCAUCACUAGUUGCCAUCAGGUAACGCUGGGAACUCUAGUGAAACUGCCGUCGUAAGACGUGAGGAAGGAGGGGAUGAUGUCAAGUCAUCAUGGCCUUUAUGCCCAGGGCUACACACGUGCUACAAUGGAGUGUACAAAGAGCAGCAACACGGUGACGUGAAGCCAAUCUCAAAAAACACUUCUCAGUUCAGAUUGAAGUCUGCAACUCGACUUCAUGAAGCUGAAUCGCUAGUAAUCGUAUAUCAGCAAUGGAUACGGUGAAUACGUUCCCGGACCUUGCACACACCGCCCGUCAAGCCAUGGAAGCCGGGUGCACCUAAAGUCGGUAACCGUAAGGAGCCGCCUAGGGUAAAACUGGUGACUGGGGCU